CCCGAUCCCAUCCCGAACUCGGAAGUGAAACGCAGCUGCGCCGAUGGUAGUGUGGCUCAAGCCAUGCGAGAGUAGGUCAUCGCCAGGG
rnacentral:rRNA from 1 species